CAGGUCACCGGGCCGUGGGUGACUCUCUGGUCGGCGCUGAGCUUCAAGAGUGACCAUUCCCCAGACGGUGCACGUCUCACUCUGAAAUUGCUUUUGCUCCCUGCGUCUGUCCUGCGGAGCUCACUCCCAAGACCGGUGUCACAAUGGUCGGAGUCAUUUGCCACCUCCCUGUAAUUAGCGAUCUCCACGGCGUCCCGUGCAACUGCCCUCCCCAGGCCGGAGAACUGCAGGAAAACACGGCCCUUCCCCUUCCACUCGCCGAGGGUCCGGUCACAACGCCAGUCUUCCAGGUGUGGGUUGUCUUGGAGAACGUGUCUUUUUGCCCCAGAGGUCCUGGCCUUGGGCUGGGGUCUAAAUGAGCCUGCUUUGGAGUGAGCUGACAACAGUGCGAUUAUUAUUAAGGCACUGAUGGCCUGCAAUAGGAUUCCUUAAAAAGGAGACUUAAACACCAUUUAGCAGUUACUCAGACUUUAUGUUCACUAAGAAAUGGAGAACAUGGAAGAGAAACUGCCUUCUGCUCAGAUGCAGUAGUUUUGUUUUUUUAAAAAAUAAUCUUUUGUGGAAUAAACUUAACCA